rnacentral:rRNA from 1 species
CCUACGGGAGGCUGCAGUGAGGAAUAUUGGUCAAUGGACGCUAGUCUGAACCAGCCAAGUAGCGUGAAGGAUGACUGCCCUAUGGGUUGUAAACUUCUUUUAUAAGGGAAUAAAAUGCGGUAUGUGUGCUUCUUUGCAUGUACCUUUUGAAUAGGAUUGGCUUACUUCGGUCCAGGAGCCGGCGUAAUACGGAGGAUCCGAGCGUUUUUCGGAUUUAUUGGGUUUAAAGGGAGCGUAGAGGGGUUGUUAAGUCAGUUGUGAAAGUUUGGGGCUCAACCGUAAAAUUGCAGUUGAUACUGGCAGUCUUGAGUACAGUAGAGGUAGGCGGAAUUCGUGGUGUAGCGGUGAAAUGCUUAGAUAUCACGAAGAACCCCGAUUGCGAAGGCAGCUUGCUAAACUGUAACUGACGUUGAUGCUCGAAAGUGUGGGUAUCAAACAGGAUUAGAUACCCGGGUAGUC